rnacentral:rRNA from 1 species
CCUACGGGAGGCAGCAGUGAGGAAUAUUGGUCAAUGGACGAGAGUCUGAACCAGCCAAGUAGCGUGAAGGAUGACUGCCCUAUGGGUUGUAAACUUCUUUUAUAUGGGAAUAAAAUGUUCCACGUGUGGGAUUUUGUAUGUACCAUAUGAGUAAGGAUCGGCUCACUCAGUGCCAGCAGCGGCGGUAAUACGGGGGAUCCGAGCGUUAUCCGGAUUUAUUGGGGUUAAAGGGAGCGUAGGUGGAUUGUUAAGUCAGUUGUGAAAGUUUGCGGCUCAACCGUAAAAUUGCAGUUGAAACUGGCAGGCUUGAGUACAGUAGAGGUGGGCAGAAUUCGUGGUGUAGCGGUGAAAUGCUUAGAUAUCACGAAGAACUCCGAUGGCGAAGGCAGUUCACUGGACUGCAACUGACACUGAGGUGCGAAAGUGUGGGUAUCAAACAGGAUUAGAUACCCGGGUAGUC